CUGGGCCCCACGUAAAGGUGUCUUGGCCAGGCCUAGACCCCAUUGCAGGCAGGACUCAACCUCCAGGUCUCCCAUCCCAGACAGAGCAGUGGCUGCACCCUACUCUCCCCGAGGGAAAGAGGCCUGAGCCCUAAGACUUCCUUCCUGAGACCACAGGCCAAACUGCCCUUAAUCGACGGCCCUGGUUUGAAGGGCGAACAGGACUGAUUGCACUGGACAGGUUGGGUGGACGUAAAUGUUUGCCAAAUGGAGGCCAGGAGAGCAGAGGAGCGAGAGAAAGGACACGGGGCCUCCUGCGUCUUUUGUUCAUGCCUCCCCAGCACCAGGGAGGCCUACCUCUACACCCUGGGGAGGGUCCUUGGCUGUGCCAGUCCUGCCUCCGUACCUCUGAUGACCAGGUCCUGCAGCGGGGCCCAGGCAUUGGGGAAAUCCCACUGCUGGCCUGUCUUCUGGAGAGAGGUCGGGAUCCCAUACUGUCUUGCUCCAUCACCCAGGCUGGAAUACAGUGGCAUGAACACAGCUCACCACAACCUCGACCUCCUGGGGCUCAAGUGAUCAUCUGGCCUCAACCUUCUGAGUAGCCAGGACUACAGGUGCAUGCCACCACGCCUGGGCUCUGCAGUCCCUGGGAUUCGCAGUGUUAGUUGAUCUCCGGGAGACACUAGUUCCCAGGAGACCCCAGUGAAGGCCUGGCUGUACCAUCAUAGGCUGUGUGCCCUUGGGCAAGAACCUCUACCAUUCCUCGUUGCCUGUAUAUAAAUUGAAGGCUUUGCUCCAGACACCAGCUCUGGAUCCCCAGACCUCUCACCUGAGCUCUAGGGCAAAUGCUUCCCGACGUCCCCAGAAGCAGGCAGCGAGGCUGGGACGGUGUGGAGCUGCACACUUCCAGCUUCUGGGUUGCUGGCAAGGCCCUGUCAUCACUCGAUUUCCGGGUGUCUGCUUCACAGUCAUCUGUUAAACUGCCAUAUGUGUUUUAUGCACCUUCCUGGGUUGUGCUACAGCUGAUAAUAAAAUCAUUUGAGAA